rnacentral:rRNA from 1 species
UACGUAAGGACCGAGCGUUGUCCGGAAUCAUUGGGCGUAAAGGGUACGUAGGCGGUCUAGUAAGUUAGAAGUGAAAGGCCAUAGCUCAACUAUUGUAAGCUUUUAAAACUGCUAGACUUGAGAGAUGGAAGGGAAAGUGGAAUUCCUAGUGUAGCGGUGAAAUGCGCAGAGAUAUGGAGGAACACCAGUGGCGAAGGCGGCUCUCUGGUCCGCAACUGACGCUGAGGUGCGAAAGCGUGGGGAGCAAACAGG